rnacentral:snoRNA from 2 species
UGGAUCAAUCAUGACUACUGGUGUUGGAUGGGUCUUCCUCAGUGAAUGCCUAUCUGGAACUCUGAGGUCCAU